rnacentral:misc_RNA from 1 species
CCAAUUGCACUCGCAAUACUCGAAAAUUUGUUCCACCAAGAUCCAACGCAUAGAAGACGCCAGCUUCAUCACCAGUGGGUAGAUUAUCCACAUAAGUGAUAAGCAUCUUGAGCUUACUGCCGCCUUCAGAAGCAAGUCCGGCGUGCAUCUCAACAGUCAUAGCAUCAGCAACUUGCUUAAGCUUUGCAUCUUGAGUCUUACACUUUUCUUCAAAUUCACGAAGAAUAGCCAUAGCACGACCCCAUUUACUAGAUUUCCGCAUCCGGUGAUUCACUAUUAACACCGCCACUGCACACACCGCAGCUGCACCAACCACGGCGACUCCCACCGUCACUUUCUUCAUUUUGCCGGAAUUUGAGGUUGGCAAAAAGUUGGUCCACUGAGAAAAAAAUGAAAUGAGUAAAGUAAAGAUUUGUGAUUUUUUAAGG